ACGCUGGCGGCGCGCCUAACACAUGCAAGUCGAACGAGCGAGAGAGAGCUUGCUUUCUCAAGCGAGUGGCGAACGGGUGAGUAACGCGUGAGGAACCUGCCUCAAAGAGGGGGACAACAGUUGGAAACGACUGCUAAUACCGCAUAAGCCCACGACCCGGCAUCGGGUAGAGGGAAAAGGAGCAAUCCGCUUUGAGAUGGCCUCGCGUCCGAUUAGCUAGUUGGUGAGGUAACGGCCCACCAAGGCGACGAUCGGUAGCCGGACUGAGAGGUUGAACGGCCACAUUGGGACUGAGACACGGCCCAGACUCCUACGGGAGGCAGCAGUGGGGAAUAUUGCACAAUGGGGGAAACCCUGAUGCAGCGACGCCGCGUGGAGGAAGAAGGUCUUCGGAUUGUAAACUCCUGUUGUUGAGGAAGAUAAUGACGGUACUCAACAAGGAAGUGACGGCUAACUACGUGCCAGCAGCCGCGGUAAAACGUAGGUCACAAGCGUUGUCCGGAAUUACUGGGUGUAAAGGGAGCGCAGGCGGGAAGACAAGUUGGAAGUGAAAUCCAUGGGCUCAACCCAUGAACUGCUUUCAAAACUGUUUUUCUUGAGUAGUGCAGAGGUAGGCGGAAUUCCCGGUGUAGCGGUGGAAUGCGUAGAUAUCGGGAGGAACACCAGUGGCGAAGGCGG
rnacentral:rRNA from 1 species